CCGGCGCACGGGUGCGUAACGCGUAUGCAACCUACCUUUUACUGGGGGAUAGCCCGGAGAAAUUCGGAUUAACACCGCAUAAUAAGUUGAAGUGGCAUCACUUUAAUUUUAAAUAUUUAUAGGUAAGAGAUGGGCAUGCGUCCAAUUAGCUAGUUGGUGAGGUAACGGCUCACCAAGGCGAUGAUUGGUAGGGGUUCUGAGAGGAAGGUCCCCCACACUGGUACUGAGAUACGGACCAG
rnacentral:rRNA from 1 species